rnacentral:rRNA from 1 species
GAUGAACGCUGGCGGCGUGCCUAAUACAUGCAAGUCGAGCGAACAGACGAGGAGCUUGCUCCUCUGACGUUAGCGGCGGACGGGUGAGUAACACGUGGAUAACCUACCUAUAAGACUGGGAUAACUUCGGGAAACCGGAGCUAAUACCGGAUAAUAUAUUGAACCGCAUGGUUCAAUAGUGAAAGACGGUUUUGCUGUCACUUAUAGAUGGAUCCGCGCCGCAUUAGCUAGUUGGUAAGGUAACGGCUUACCAAGGCGACGAUGCGUAGCCGACCUGAGAAGGUGAUCGGCCACACUGGAACUGAGACACGGUCCAGACUCCUACGGGAGGCAGCAGUAGGGAAUCUUCCGCAAUGGGCGAAAGCUUGACGGAGCAACGCCGCGUGAGUGAUGAAGGUCUUCGGAUCGUAAAACUCUGUUAUUAGGGAAGAACAAAUGUGUAAGUAACUAUGCACGUCUUGACGGUACCUAAUCAGAAAGCCACGGCUAACUACGUG